UACGUAGGGUGCGAGCGUUAAUCGGAAUUACUGGGCGUAAAGCGUGCGCAGGCGGUUUUGUAAGCCAGAUGUGAAAUCCCCGGGCUCAACCUGGGAAUUGCAUUCGAGACUGAAUAGCUAGGGUACGGUAGAGGGAAGCGGAAUUUCCGGUGUAGCGGUGAAAUGCGUAGAUAUCGGAAGGAACAUCAGUGGCGGAAGCGGCUUCCUGGACCAGUACCGACGUUCAGGCACGAAAGCGUGGGGAGCAAACAGG
rnacentral:rRNA from 1 species